ensembl:lncRNA
AAUAAAUCAACACCUUCUGACUAAUCUGAAUCCAGAACUAAAUAGCUCUAUGUUUGUUAUUAUACUCUGCAGGACUUUGCUUCUCAUGCUGAAUGGCUUAAGAUGAGGCUCAUUAGAGAGAAAGUUGGAGAACUCACACCGUUCUGGAAACCGUCUCUGUCUCUCUCCCCCCACCCCCUCCUCCUCCUCAGGAAACUCAGGGAGCCAAAAUCCUGUGAAUACAGGAUGAGAGCGAGACGUGUUUUACGGGUUCUCCACGUGGGAAUGUUCUUGCGAGAUGAAACCUAGGCAGCAGAGUGGAGAAUUCUGGAACACAGCUGUGGAUUUUCAACAAUUUCCUCA